rnacentral:rRNA from 1 species
GACGAACGCUGGCGGCGUGCUUAACACAUGCAAGUCGAACGGAAAGGCCCCGCUUUUGUGGGGUGCUCGAGUGGCGAACGGGUGAGUAACACGUGAGUAACCUGCCCUUGACUUUGGGAUAACUUCAGGAAACUGGGGCUAAUACCGGAUAGGAGCUCCUGCUGCAUGGUGGGGGUUGGAAAGUUUCGGCGGUUGGGGAUGGACUCGCGGCUUAUCAGCUUGUUGGUGGGGUAGUGGCUUACCAAGGCUUCGACGGGUAGCCGGCCUGAGAGGGUGACCGGCCACAUUGGGACUGAGAUACGGCCCAGACUCCUACGGGAGGCAGCAGUGGGGAAUAUUGCACAAUGGGCGGAAGCCUGAUGCAGCAACGCCGCGUGCGGGAUGACGGCCUUCGGGUUGUAAACCGCUUUCGCCUGUGACGAAGCGUGAGUGACGGUAAUGGGUAAAGAAGCACCGGCUAACUACGUG